CACAAAGUGCUGCCCCAAAACGAAAAACUUCUGGGUCUGGCCCACGAACCAAGUCCGUAUGUACUCUGCAAUUCUGCUCAGUGAAAGAAAAUUACAGAAGAGAAAUGGCGGCAAAGAAGAGCAAGGCAGUCUACAAUGUUUACAGAGCGCUGACCCAUGGUCUAUCACCAUUGCUGUACCUUCACCUCCACUGGCGGAAACUCCGAGGCCUCGAGCACCCACUCCGAUGGCGUGAGCGUCUGGGCCGACCUUCCCUCCCUCGCCCCGAAGGCCCACUCAUCUGGUUCCACGCCGUCUCAUUAGGUGAAGGAAUGGCUGCGAUUCCGGUGAUCAAGCAAUGCAUUCAGCGGAGGCCUGAUUUAACUAUUCUGAUGACCACUACGACGUCAUCUGCGUUUGGAGUAAUAGAGAAACGUCUUCCAACUGGUGUCUUACAUCAGUUUGCGCCGGUUGAUACACCUUCUGCUGUGGACUCAUUCCUUGGUUACUGGAAGCCAAAUGUGAUUGUGCUUAUGGAGAGUGAACUAUGGCCAAAUUUAAUUAUGGCUGCUUCAGAAAAGGGUAUCAUGCUGGCAUUGUUAAAUGCUCGAGUAUCUACUAAAUCCUUUAAACGUUGGUCAGGACCAGCGCUUCUUCCUCUUAUUUCAUUGAUGCUAUCAAAGUUUUCAUUGAUCUCCCCAUUGAGCAAUAUGCAGGCCAUCCACUUUCAGCUGCUGCAUGCCCCACCUUUUGUGAUCAACUUUUCUGGUGACUUGAAGUAUGUGGUUGGAGAAUUUGACAUUUCUGAGGGAGAGAUCAAAAGCAUGGAAGAUUUAAAAGUACACUGUGCCCACAGGAAGGUUUGGAUGGCUUCUUCCAUACAUAAGGGGGAAGAAGAAGUAAUACUUGGCAUUCACAAAGUGCUGCGACAAGAGUACCCUGACUUGUUAACUAUUAUUGUGCCUCGACAUCCACAUCAUGGAAAAGAGAUUGCUCAAAAAUUGUGGAAAGAAGGGCAUGGUGUAGGGUUGAGGUCUCAACGUGAUAAACUCUUAGGAGACACAAGUAUAUAUGUGGUGGACACAUUAGGUGAAUUGAAACACCUUUAUAAGUUAUCCCCUGUAGCUGUAAUUGGAGGUUCCUUCUUUCCUAGCCUUUCUGGCCAUAACAUAUCAGAAGCUGCUGCAGCAGGCUGUGCAACUUUGACUGGUCCUUACAUCGGGCAUUUUUCAAUCAUGGUACUGGAAAUGCAACGGUUAAAUCCUCUGUCAGUUCUGCAGGUUGGGGGAAAAUUAGAACUUGAAGAAGCUCUUAGAAAGCUGUUUGGUGAUGUCAAAGUUCUAGAAGCACAUUGUGCUGCAGCAAAACAAGUGUAUCAUACCCUAUCAAGUGGUGUGGUUCAAAACGUUUGGAAUCUAUUAGAUAUUCAGAUUCUCCAACGAGCUUUGAGCUAAAAAGUAAAAGAUCAUCAUACAACAACAGAAAUCACCUUUCUGUCUACUGCUAGCUUGGCAUAAUGGUAUUUCUAGGAAAAUAGAAAUAAUAGCAAUCGCAGAUAACUGUUGCUGCUGCUUCCACCACUGCUACAAUAAUCUCUAUGCAGCGUGAUGAACUUCUCAGAAAGCCAUGAAGGGGCAAGAGAAUUGAUGGCUGCUCGUUCCAACUCCAAGAGAGUGAAGUUUAUUUUCAAAGAGAAACUCGUCACAUGGCAUAGCUGAAGGGCCAGAGCUACCAUGACCGUACUCUUCGUAUUCUUGGUCUAGCAGCUGCUGUAGAACCGGGUGAUUCAGGAAAUCCACUCUUUCAACAAACCUUCAUCUAGCUUCCCCUACUACUACAGCCAAGUGACCAGGAGGGGCAUCCCAGGGUAGCUUCUUUUCACCAACUCCGGCAAGCCUCAGCUUCACAUGCAACCAUUCUUUUUCAGCUUCCAAUGUUGCAGAUCAUGCCUUGUCUAGAAUAUUGCUACAUGGGAGGAGCCAUAUCAAUGUGAAGUGACAACUCAGACUUUCUUGAUAUGGGUUGUUCAAGGUGGACAUGGGUAUUUAUUCUUGGGGCUUUCCGGUUUUUGCUUCAACAAUUUAUUCAUUUACCGUGCAAAGGCCUAAGGGAAAACACAAUAAGAGAACUUGAAAUGCAAGGGAUCUCUGCAUUUGGAUGAAAUUGAAUCCUUAAGAUUAGGACAGAAUUCUGGCUAGCAUGUGUCGGUCGGGGAGUCCUUGGGACCAUGAUCUUAUUUUCAUGGGCACUCACAGAGGAGGAUUCUCUCCUCUCCUAUUCCCAUGCACGCAUCACAUGCAUUGGUGGGUGAACAUAUUCUUCAUACCACAUACGUAUGUAGGAGUCUCUGUUGUAUUGUCAAAUUUUUCAUGCUUUUGCAUAUGUGACAUGUCCUCUUUUGGGGUGGCAACCCGGGGGUUUGGGUGCCGGUGUUUUAUAGUAGAACGAUGUAUGACAAGUUGUAGAGAAUUUAAAGAGUUAAAUAUUUUUCUUUCAUGAA